GGUAAAAUAUUAACAGAGAUGUCUACAAUAUAAUAAUUACAUUUCAGUGCUGCAUCGGUUUCCGGAUCCAGAAAAGGAAAAAGAGCGGUUUGAUCUUUGGGUCAAUUCCAUAGGAGGCAAUAUACUGACUUUACAAAAUGAAUUCAUUCAUAAAUAUCGGCGUGUUUGUAACACUCAUUUUGCAGAAAAGUAUUAUUGCCGCAACAAUCGAAUCAGCAAACUAGCAAUAACAACUUUAUUGUUGCCUGACUCUUCACUGAUUGAAAAUAGGCUACUGAGGCAGUUGCAAAAUGUGGUUGGAUCUUUGCCAUCAACCUCACAAGGAGGCACAGAUUUCAUUACAACAUUUACAGAAGAAAUAAUCCCAGUGCAGCAGUCUCGAAAUUUACCUAAAUCUUUACCAUCAGGCUUACAAGAUCUCAUUGAAAUUGAAGCCAAUAAAGAAAAUCGCCCUGUUUGUCAAAUUGUACAGCAUAAUGGUAAAUAUAAUAAUGUGUUUGUAAAAUAACUAUAUAACUAUAAAACGCGGC